CCCUUAGAUGUUCUGGGCUGCACGCGUGCUACACUGAUAUUGCCAAUAUGUCAUUCUUAUCCGAAAUGGAUUGGGUAAUCAAGUAAUGAAAUUUCAUGCUUGGAAUCGGUAAUUGCAAUUUUAUCGUGAACGAGGAAUUCCUAGUAAGCACUAGUCAUCAGCUAAUGUUGAUUAUGUCCCUGCCCUUUGUACACACCGCCCGUCGCUACUACUGAUUGGGUGUUCAAGUGAGAUGCUUAGACCCUUGUUGCAUGGUUCAUUAUUGAGCUCCGAAAGGAAAAAGUUUCAAGCUUGAGUGUCUAGAGGAAGUAAAAGUCGUAACA
rnacentral:rRNA from 1 species